UACAGAGGUCCCAAGCGUUGUUCGGAUUCACUGGGCGUAAAGGGUGCGUAGGUGGUGAGGUAAGUUUGAUGUGAAAUCUCUGGGCUCAACCCAGAAAUGGCAUUGAAUACUAUCUCGCUAGAGAGUCGGAGGGGGGACUGGAAUACUUGGUGUAGCAGUGAAAUGCGUAGAUAUCAAGUGGAACACCAGUGGCGAAGGCGAGUCCCUGGACGACUUCUGACACUGAGGCACGAAAGCUAGGGGAGCAAACAGG
rnacentral:rRNA from 1 species